rnacentral:misc_RNA from 1 species
CCAAUAGCGUAUAUUAAAGUUGUUGCAGUUAAAAAGCUCGUAGUUGAAUUUCGGGACCAAUCUGCCGGUCGUGCCUCCGGUACGCACUGGUUUUAUUGGUUUCUCCCUUCUGACGAACCAUGAUGUCAUUAAUUUGGUGUCAUGGGGAAUCAGGACUGUUACUUUGAAAAAAUUAGAGUGUUUAUAGCAGGCUCACGCUUGAAUACAUUAGCAUGGAAUAAUGAAAUAGGACGUUUGACCCUAUUUUGUUGGUUUAUAGGAUCGACGUAAUGAUUAAUAGGGAUAGUUGGGGGCAUUAGUAUUCAAUUGUCAGAGGUGAAAUUCUUGGAUUUAUUGCAGACUAACUACUGCGAAAGCAUUUGCCAAGGAUGUUUUCAUUAAUCAAGAACGAAAGUUAGGGGAUCGAAGACGAUCAGAUACCGUCGUAGUCUUAACCAUAAACUAUGCCGACUAGGGAUCGGAUGAUGUUAAUUUUUUAAUGACUCAUUCGGCGCCUUACG